rnacentral:piRNA from 1 species
UCAGCUCUGCUCUGAAAUGAAUGCCAUC